GGCCUUUUGAAUUUAAUAUAAGGUCUGACCUGCCCAGUGAUAGUUUUAACGGCCGCGGUAUACUGACCGUGCAAAGGUAGCAUAAUCAUUAGUCUUUUAAUAGGGGGCUGGAAUGAAAGGUUUCACGAGGAACUGACUGUCUCAUUUUAUUUGUUUUAAAAUUUAAUUUUUUAGUUAAAAAGCUAAAAUUUUAUUGGUAGACGAGAAGACCCUAUAGAGCUUUACAUAUAAUUAAAUAAAUAUUUUUAUAUUAAUAUUUUUAUUUAUUUUUGUGUUUUGUUGGGGUGACAAAAAUAUAUAACUAACUUUUUUAUUUACUUUACAUUGAUUUAUGAAUAUUAGAUCCAAUAUUAUUGAUUAUUAGACUAAGUUACCUUAGGGAUAACAGCGUAAUCCUCCUCCAGAGUUCAUAUUUACAGGAUGGGCUUGCGACCUCGAUGUUGGAUUAAGAUAAUAAUUAGGUGUAGCCGCUUAAUUGAUAGGUCUGUUCGACCUUUAAAUUCUU
rnacentral:rRNA from 1 species